UGCAAUUUAUAGUAAUGAAUGUACAUAAUAUACAUUUAAGCGCUAAAAUUAUCUAUGUGUUAUUAAAAUUAAUAGAAAAUAAAAAAGGGGGAAUUUUGGGAAAAAAAGGAUGAGCUGGGCUAGAAAACAAGUGUCCUGUCCCAAGGUACCUUUGACUUUUGAUACCUUUUCUGAAAUUCUCCAGUCAUUAAAUCUUUUACAAAAUUUCAUUGAUUACAAAAAAA
rnacentral:lncRNA from 1 species